rnacentral:lncRNA from 1 species
CUUUACAAAAGAGGACUCUGUGCCCAUUUCAAAACUCUGACGGGUAUUGAUAUCUGUGAUCGAGUAGGACAGGCUCUUCAAACCAAGGGGAAGAGGAUCAUAGAUGUCUUCCAAAGACAAACUCAGAACAGAGACAUUCAGUGUCUUCUACAGGACAUUGAGAGCGACACAGCGACCAUGCAGCAUAGCAGGACCAGCAUAGCAGCAGUGCUUCUUUUGAUGAAGCACUUCCUUGAAAAAGAGGAUUCCAUCUUCAUUUUGGCUGAUGUAAGUGGGCAAUAGUAUUGUAAAUUACAUGAAAUGUUAUUUUUAAGCUGCAUUUUAAACAUGUAGUAAUAUUAGGUCUUCUUGUGUUUUAAAGACAGCUGCAACAAAGGCAUCCAUCGAGAAAGAUAUGAGCCUUCCAGCCACACCAAGACUCAUAAUGCUUGGGAACACAUUUCUCUCUUCCACAAAGUGGAUGGUAAGCAUUGAGGGAAAGGUGGCCUAUGUUUUGGAUGAGCACCUGGGAUUUGCAGAUGCCUUAUCUGUAUUCUUCAGCUGCUUUUCAACAUUGAAUACCAGGAGACUGCCUGUGCAACACUGGAACUCAUACAAAGAGGGACUUCUGACAGAUUCCUUGCCGUAAUGGAGCAUAUUCCUGGUUGUUUCAAGUCAUCAAAUGUGCCAGGUUUAUUGACUUCCAAAAUCGGUACAGAUGAGAAACUUGAAUACUUGUCUACUUUCAGAAUUUAUUGGCUUUAGACAUUUAGGUUUAGUCAUGUAUAUGAGUAUUUUUCACCAAAUUUACAGUAUUCUUUAGUGACUUAUUUCUAAUGUAAUUUCCUAUGAAUUUAAUACUUUAAUGCUCAUUCAAUAAUAUGUUAUUUUGUCAAUUUGUUAAUUUAUUGCUUUGUUAAUGGAUGUAAAUGUUAAAUCCAGUGUACAAAGGACAAAAAAUGUUGCACUGUCCCAGCAUUGUAUCUUUAAUGACUGUUUUUCAGUGUGUGUGUUCUAACUGUGCGUUCACACCGCCGGCGUCGAGAGCGUCAAAGUGGCCGGAAGUCAUUCAUUUUCAAUGUGAGCCGGCGUCGAGGAGCGGCGCGGCGCGACUUGGCCGUUGAGAGCGUCGAGGAGAGUUGAAAUCAGGGCAACUUUAUGGUAAUGAGCUAUGACGCGGUUGGGCAGCAACCAAUCAAAACGUAGAAGUCCACCGCUUGAGAGGAUUCCAGAGAAUGCAGUACCGACCACAUUAGUUCAAACAAAAGGUUGAUUAUUACUGUGGCGGGUUUGCAGUAAUCUAUGAUGUGUCCCUGUUUGCGUACAGGGACAUAAAAAAAUUAAUUCAAAAUGAUACGUGGACCAAGGUGUCUGAGAUUGUUCAUGUUUCUGGUGAGUUGCUGAUGUGCAGUAACAAUAUAAUAAUAAUCUAAUGAUAUAAUAAAAACUACUAGGCUACAGUAGUCCUAGUUUACUUUUAAAAAAAAUUCCUUGUUUAUACGUACAUUAAGUAAUGUUUAUACUUGAUUAUAUUUACUUAAGUAACUUUUACUUGCAUCAGAGUAUUUUUACAGUGCUUUAUACAUUAUUAGGUAAAGGAUCUUAAUACUUCGUCCACAACAAUAUUUAAUGAGGUUAACUUAUAACGUUACGCUCAUUGUGGUUAGUCUGCACAAGAUCAACAAGCUUGUUUGCUUUGCGGCCGCUUUAAAUUCACGAUCAGCAUUCGAUCUACGUCAGAGCGUCAGAGCGCUCACGAAUCUUUCUGCAGCGUUGUGAGCAAAGCGGCCAGAGCGAUUUUUGAUGCUCUCGACGCCGGCGGUGUGAACGCACAGUUACCGUAUUUUUCGGACUAUAAGUCGCACCUGAGUAUAAGUCGCAUCAGUCCAAAAAUCGUCAUGACGAGGAAAAAAACCAUAUAUAAGUCGCACCGGACUAUAAGUCGCAUUUAUUUAGAACCAAGAAACAAGAGAAAACAUUACCGUCUACAGCCACGAGAGGGCGCUCUAUGCUGCUCAGUGCUCCUGUAGUCUACCACUGAAAACACUACAACAAAAGGUUGAUUAUUACUGUGGCGGGUUUGCAGUAAUCUAUGAUGUGUCCCUGUUUGCGUACAGGGACAUAAAAAAAUUAAUUCAAAAUGAUACGUGGACCAAGGUGUCUGAGAUUGUUCAUGUUUCUGGUGAGUUGCUGAUGUGCAGUAACAAUAUAAUAAUAAUCUAAUGAUAUAAUAAAAACUACUAGGCUACAGUAGUCCUAGUUUACUUUUAAAAAAAAUUCCUUGUUUAUACGUACAUUAAGUAAUGUUUAUACUUGAUUAUAUUUACUUAAGUAACAUUUUUAAUGCAGGACUUUUACUUGCAUCAGAGUAUUUUUACAGUGCUUUAUACAUUAUUAGGUAAAGGAUCUUAAUACUUCGUCCACAACAAUAUUUAAUGAGGUUAACUUAUAACGUUACGCUCAUUGUGGUUAGUCUGCACAAGAUCAACAAGCUUGUUUGCUUUGCGGCCGCUUUAAAUUCACGAUCAGCAUUCGAUCUACGUCAGAGCGUCAGAGCGCUCACGAAUCUUUCUGCAGCGUUGUGAGCAAAGCGGCCAGAGCGAUUUUUGAUGCUCUCGACGCCGGCGGUGUGAACGCACAGUUACCGUAUUUUUCGGACUAUAAGUCGCACCUGAGUAUAAGUCGCAUCAGUCCAAAAAUACGUCAUGACGAGGAAAAAAACAUACGCACCUGAGUAUAAGUCGCAUCAGUCCAAAAAUACGUCAUGACGAGGAAAAAACAUAUAUAAGUCGCACCGGACUAUAAGUCGCAUUUAUUUAGAACCAAGAAACAAGAGAAAACAUUACCGUCUACAGCCACGAGAGGGCGCUCUAUGCUGCUCAGUGCUCCUGUAGUCUACCACUGAAAACAACUACAACUGCACUGUUGACAAGCCUCUCCCGGCAGCGCGUUGUUCAAGCACCCAUCUGUGGACUCGUUCCUCCAGCUCUGGCCAUCUUGCUUUCAGCCCGCGGUUAGCUUUUUUUGUUUUCUUCAUUUGAGUUAGAGUAACCUCUGUUUUACGCCAGUCCCUCACAAGUUUCUCACUCACUCCAAACUUUCUUUCUGCUGCUCGAUUACCGUUUUCGGCUGCAUAUUUUACUAUCUGCAGUUUGUAAUCUGCAGAAUAGGAUUUUCUUUUUGGGGGCAUUUUAUUUGCAUUCAGUCUUUCUCAGUUGUCUUUAAGUUAAUAUUUCAGUUAACAGUUUUCAGUUGUUUUCAGUGGUAGACUACAGGAGCACUGAGCAGCAUAGAGCGCCCUCUCGCGGCUGGAGACGGUAAUGUUUUCUAUUGGUUCAUUUCUCUUGGUUCAUUUCUCUCGGUUCAUUUCUCUCAGUUCAUGUCAAAUAAAUUGAUAAAUAA